AACGCAUAUUGCACUCUUUGGUAUUCCGAGGAGUAUGCCUGUUUCAGUAUCAGAAAUAUACGAUCGAAGAAGUUUCUUCGGAUCUGGGUCUCGUAUGCAUCAUAUUCUCUCCCAUUUUGGCUCUUUGGUGAUCCGAAGGAAGGAGAGACGCUUGUUGAGCAUACUGGCCUGAAAUUCAUGGUCUUGCCGCAGUUUUUUUACACCAUCGCCGGCUCUCCCAAAAAAAAAGGCGUCACAGUUGACCGUGGUCAUCUUUCGCUUGUUGGAAGCCGGCACGGUGCUGUGCUUGAUCGAUCGCGAUCGCAAUCGCAAAUUGCAAAGUUUGAUCUGAAAUCAGGUAGGAUCACCCGCUGAACUUAA
rnacentral:misc_RNA from 1 species